UUCAUUGUUGAAAAAAACCACAAAAGAUACAUUGACAAUCAUGUCGCGAGUAUUUGUAGAUAAAUGCCUUCUUUCGGUCACUAUUUUGACAAUAAGUGGACUUAUUGCAGGAAAAUCAAUCAAUGGCGUUUCAUGUGGAUCUGAUGAAUUCCGUUGUAAGAAUGGUAAAUGCAUAGCACUUGACUGGAAGUGUGACGGCAUGGUAGAUUGUGGCGGAUAUGACGAAUCAGACGAAAAAAACUGUAAACGAGAAGAUAAUUGUGACCUGUAUGCAUGGUUCUACUUCCGAUGCGAGAUUACCCAUCGAUGUAUACCAAAAACGUGGAAGUGUAAUGGGGUACCAGAAUGUCUUUACAACGACCGUUCUGAUGAAAAACAUUGUCAAGGAAUAAAACAUAAAAACUGAAAUCUUAUUCUGAUAUCUUAUUCAAAUAUCUUACUGUACAUUGUAUUAACAUAUGUUUAUUAAACUGAGUAAAUUUUUAAUAGUCAUCUGCAUUUAAAAAAAAGUGAUAGUUUUAGUUUUUUGAAAACAAAUGGAAUGCACAUUAUUAUAGUUAUAGAGUUAUACAUUUACAAUGUACACACAGUCAGCUUCUGAAUAGGCUAGAUGACUAAGCAUGUAAUAUAACUAUCCUAACUCGAAAUAAAAAUGAACAAAAU